GGCGGCGCUGCGGGAGCAGGAGCAGGAGCAGGGCCAGAAGCUCCUGGAGACGCUGCAGGAGCUGGAGAAGCAGGGCCUGGAGGGGAUGAAGGCGCUGCUGGAGGGGACAGAGACCCCCCACCCCGAGGAACUGGCCGACCUCUUCUUCGACUGCGUGGAGGCAGAGCUGAAGUUUUACACAUAAACCCCCCACAGUCUCCUUCUCCAGAGCUUUGCUCCGGGACUGGACACCACCAGGAGCUCGCUGGGACCCGCGGGAUCCCCGGAGGGGUGUCCCUGGCUGUGCCCGGGGCCGGGAAUGGCCCUGCCAGG